UAGAAAGCCAGAGGAAUCCAGCCCA
rnacentral:piRNA from 1 species